rnacentral:rRNA from 1 species
AUUAGUAUUUAGUUUUUCUUUGAAAAUUAAAGAUUUUGGCGGUAUUUUAGUCUAUUCAGAGGAACCUGUUCUAUAAUUGAUAAUCCACGAUUUAUUUUACUUAAUUAAUUUGUAUAUCGUCGUUAUUGAAUAUUUUAUAAGAAUUAUAAUAUUCAAUUUAUUUUUUAAAAAUUAAGUCAGAUCAAGGUGCAGUUUAUAAUUAAGAGGUAAUGGGUUACAAUAAAUUUAUUUAUAUGGUUUUAUUAAUGAAAUUUAGUGAAUAAAGUGGGAUAGUAAUUUUUUUAAUUAAUCAAAAUGAUUUUAGCUCUAAAAUAUG